rnacentral:pre_miRNA from 1 species
AAAGUACUCCCUCCGUCGCAAAAUUCUUGUCUUAUAUUUGUCUAGAUACGGAUGUAUCAAGUCACAUUUUAGUAUUAGAUACAUCCGUAUCUAGACUAAUCUAAGACAAGAAAUUUGGGACAGAGGGAGUAGUUG